rnacentral:rRNA from 1 species
UACGGAGGGAGCUAGCGUUGUUCGGAAUUACUGGGCGUAAAGCGCACGUAGGCGGCUUUGUAAGUUAGAGGUGAAAGCCCGGGGCUCAACUCCGAAACUGCCUUUUAAGACUGCAUCGCUUGAAUCCAGGAGAGGUGAGUGGAAUUCCGAGUGUAGAGGUGAAAUUCGUAGAUAUUCGGAAGAACACCAGUGGCGAAGGCGGCUCACUGGACUGGUAUUGACGCUGAGGUGGCGAAAGCGUGGGGAGCAAACAGG